rnacentral:lncRNA from 1 species
AAAAAAUACUUUUGGGCUGGUAUUUUACUUUUUUAGCCAAACACAACACUAGUUCUUUGUUUUCAUCUAGAAAGCACUUUGCUUUCAUCUCUUCAUCGCUGGUUCUUUGUUCCUCUGCUGGGUCUUUGUUCCUCUUCUCCACUAAAGAAGUCUCUGGUUCUUUGUUCCUCUUCUCCACCACCGGUGAGUUUAUCUUUUUCUUCUCUUCUUCUGUAUAUUUUUGUUUGUCUUUAUUAUGGGAUUGAUUUUUAUCAUUAUUUCUUCUGUAUAUUUUCUCCUCUUCUCCACCACCGAUGCUUCUCUUUGGAAGAUUUUUUUCUCCCAUUCAAAGCCCACAUUUUUAUUUCUUCUCCCAUUCAAAAUCUCUUUACUUUUCGACUUUUAGAACGAAUUCACCUCUCGUUUGUUGUUACAAUGCUGAUUUUUUAUGCUUUUGUUUUCUGUAAUGUGACUAGUAAAGAACACUUGAAGAAGAAGGGGUAAAUGCCAAACAAUUUCUGGCAUUUUAGUUCUAGCAUUUUAGUUCUACAAUUUAAUAUAGUAGGACGACAUUUUAGUUCUAACAUUUUGUCGAACAAUUUUUGGGUAGAAUUGAUCAUGCCAACUUUGCUGUAAAAUACAAUCAGGCAAUUUAGUGAGCCUUUCAAGGAAAUAUCAUUAUACCAAUAAGGUUUGAGUACUUACCAUGUUCAUUAAUAACAAUAGGGUUCUGGUCAUCCUUUUUAGCCUGGUCUUGAGGCAUAAACGUUAGAUGCACACUACUAAUUUCUGCAUGUGUUUGAGUCAUAAAACCAGCUGACCAAGCUUCUAGGUAAAUCAUUACUCAGCUUUGAUACCAUGUUGCAAUACUCAUGAUGAAGUAGAGGUUGUUUAGUGAUGACAAUAUCGAAUUUGGCAAGGUACUGUAUAAUUGCCUAUUUGGACAAAAACAUUCCAAUUCAAAGGUUUAACAUGUUUGUUAUUUCUGCAAGGUCUCUAUAUUACUAAUACUUGUUUGCCAAUCAGGAUAUAUACUUAUAAGGGUACCUUUGCUACUUAAUCAAAAUCUCCCUGAAUUGGACCAAUGCAAUGACUGAUAAAUUUUGGUUUUUAACAGGUACAGAGGAAGAUAUGGGCAACAUUUUAAUCUGUUUCAAGUUAUAGAUAUAGGAGAUAGAUUAUAUAGUAAAUCAAAUGUUGCAGAGAGCUGGAUUGUUUAUAUUGUCUCCAGCCAAGCAAUUAUAGUUAUUUGGUCUGCCUUUUAAGGAUUAUCAAACUUGUUUCUUAGUAACUAUAUAUUAUUAUGAUGAAUUGUUACUUUUGCUUGAAUGUAUGGUUUAUCCAUGGUUGAACUCUCUU